ensembl:lncRNA
AUAUUAUCUGCAUUUCGCAGAUGAGGAAACUGAGGCACAGAGAGGUUAAGUUAGUUGUCCAAGGUUAUAAAGCUAGUAUGGAGAUGAAAUGAAAGAUUGCAUGGGAAUUACUUAGCACAGGGCGCAGGAGAUAAUAAAUGUUAAAUAAAGUGGUAGGUAUUUGUUAUGGACUGACUCGUGUCCCCCUAAAAUUAAUAUGUUGGAGCCUUAACCCCCAAUGUCACUGUAUUUAGAGAUAGGGCCUUUAAAGGGGUAACAAAGGUUAAAUGAGGUCAUAAGGGCAGGGCCCUGAUCCAAUAGGACUGGUGUCCUUAUAAGGAGAGAGAGACACCAGGGGUGCGCACACACAGAGGAAAGGCCAUGGGAGGGCACAGCAAGAAGACAGCCAUCUGCAAGCCAAGGAGAGAGGCCUCAGGAGAAACCAAACCUGCCAGCACCUUGAUCUUGGACUUCAGCCUCCAGAACUGUGAGAACACAGCCUGUCUCCAGUCAGCUCUGCUGUGUACGGGGCGAUCAUGAGGGACUCUGCUCACAUCGCUCCGUGACCGGAAUGCUCAUCUGAAUGACAUGUAAGCAAGAGACACGUGAGGCCUGAUGUCCUUGGACAGUUCAUUUAAGUCGCGGUUGUUACUUUUCUUGAGCUUGGUGCGCUCGGGUUGAUUUGGUGCUUUUUGUAUAUUGCUCAUCUGGCAGAGAAUUACUACUCUGCUCUACAAGUUGCCACAGAUGGCUUUAUUUUCCAUUGCUAUUAAAUUGGUUUUGAACAAGACAUAAUUCUUCAAGUGCCUGGUGAGCUCUCUGGGUUUGCUCAGGCAAGAUUCCAUAAAAAUGUAAAUAAUCGGAACACUUCUGGGAUUAUUUAUCACAACUGACUUGCGGCUGUAAAUUUAUGUAUUAAUUUCAGCUAUAAGCUUCAGAGGGGAAAAGAUGAACAGUUGAAAAUAGACUCUCUUACCUAACAUCCUCUCUAUGUCCCCAUUUCCCCUUGGCUUGCACAGAACACACUGUAGGAUGGCCCACACAUCUGGGUUUGAAAGACAUUGGACAGGAUCGAAAAGAAAUUGAGUGGCAAGCAGGAAAGAUUCCUCCCUCCACAAGCCAGAGGCUCAGCUCUUCCCACACUCCCCCUUGCUCCUGGAGCUCUAGCCAUGCCAGCCUUCUUUCAGUUCCUCCUGCUGAUUCCUCCCUCAGGACUCUUGCACAUACUCCUUUGGCUUAUAAUGUACUUUCCUCCUUUUCUUCCCGGUUCACUCUUACUCAUCCUUCAGCUCUUGGCUCAGCGUCGCUUGUUCAGAGAAGCCUUCCGUGCCCACUCAGUCACCAGAACAAGGUUCACUCGGGUGAUAGCGUGUCCUUCUCAUCCACAGCACUAAACACAAUGACAAUUCCUUAUUGUUGUAGGCUUGUUUAAACUUAAUGUCUGUCUCCCCUACUCACCUGUAAACUUCAUGAGAGCUGGGACCAUGUCUUUGUCACCUGCAUCGCCAGAGCCUGGCACGGAGUUGAAGAAGGAUAAAUGUGUCUUGAACGAACUGUUGAGCCCACCUGCAGCGGGAGAACACGGCUGGGCUCUUGGUGCUCUGUCCGCUCACACUCAGAUCCCCUCACCGUUGUCCGCACACCAGCACAGGUGUGCAGCUCCAGGUGUACUGUCACCCAGCCGCACCUGCAUCUCACCGUCAGAGGACUGCUCUCACUUUGCCCAUGUGCGCCAAGAGCUUGUAGUGCCCAGGAAUUUAUGUUCCCUUUAGAAGAAGCCCUUAACCAAUUAGUGAUGGGUAUGGGCUUAUAAACUCACCAGCUCUCUUGUCUUGAUGGGACAUCCGUGAGGGGUCACCUGUACUGUCCUCAAGCUCCCCUGUGGCGCUGAGCCACACUGACCCUCCAUGGGAUGGGUGGUGAUACUGCACUCCUCUCGGCCUCUUGUGGUUCCCAGCCCCUCCCACACUCCUUGACGGUGUUCCCGGAGAUCUCCUCCUAACAAGUCACUUUACACAAAUCCUCAUCUCGGGGUCUGCUUCUGGGGAACCCAACCUAAAACAGAGAGCCUUCUGCUGGAAAGGUCCUCGCUGAGCUGUGAUUAAUAUUGUAAAUUUUAGUGCUGAAAGCACUCAAACCAGGGAGACCAUUUGCUGGUUCAGACAAGGAUGGGUCCUGCCAAUAUCUCUCUAACCAGCAAGGGAGAGUCAUGUCUAUAAAGGAGGGAGAACUAAACUCUCCACGUUCGAACCUUCACCCCAUGACCCUGUGCACCACGGGAAAGAGGUCAGGAGGCUGUGCUCUAGCAUCCCAACCAAACUGGCCGUGGGAGCCUGUUGGCAAGAUUGCCUUGAGGGUAAGCCAAGAUCCUCUCUACCUGCUCCUUCUCCAAGAUUUCCCCUGAGGCCAGGGUGGGGCAGGACUGGUUUAUGGGUGGGGAGGGGGGCCCCUCUGGCUAGAGGAUCUUAGGAGGAUGAGGUGUAGGCUGGUAAGGUCAGUGUAGUAAGGAUGCCUUCAGCUUUAGGGAGCAGAAUUCCCAAUUGAAAGAGGGUUAAAUAAUAGGGGCAUAUUUAUUGAGGAAUUUUCCAUAAAGAAAAGUAACAGUGUUAUAAGACAGAAAAAUCAGGGGAAACUUACAUAGAUGGG